UUUAUCUUAGUGUAAUAGAGCACGUAAAAUUUUGAUUUUUAAAGUAAUAUAAUUAGAUAAAU
rnacentral:tRNA from 1 species